GACGUAGGGCGCGAGCGUUGUCCGGAUUUAUUGGGCGUACAGAGCUCGUAGGCGGCUCGUUGCGUCGGCUGUGAAAACCCGCAGCUCAACUGUGGGCUUGCAGCUGAUACGGGCGGGCUGGAGUUCGGUAGGGGAGACUGGAAUUCCUGGUGUAGCGGUGAAAUGCGCAGAUAUCAGGAGGAACACCGGUGGCGAAGGCGGGUCUCUGGGCCGAUACUGACGCUGAGGAGCGAAAGCGUGGGGAGCGAACAGG
rnacentral:rRNA from 1 species